rnacentral:rRNA from 1 species
UACGGGGGGGGCAAGCGUUGUUCGGAAUUACUGGGCGUAAAGGGCUUGUAGGUGGCCAACUAAGUCAGACGUGAAAUCCCCAGGCUUAACCUGGGAACUGCGUCUGAUACUGGAUGGCUAGAGUUUGGGAGAGGGAUGCGGAAUUCCAGGUGUAGCGGUGAAAUGCGUAGAUAUCUGGAGGAACACCGGUGGCGAAGGCGGCAUCCUGGACCAACACUGACGCUGAGGAGCGAAAGCCAGGGGAGCAAACGGG